rnacentral:lncRNA from 1 species
UCCCAAUAAGUUGUAUAAACACUAAUAUUAAAAAUGUUAGUAACAAAUAAAUAAUAAUCAAAAUAAAUUAAAAAAUAUGUGUGCGUAUGCGUAUUUAAAAAUAUAAUUUUUGUUAAAAUGUCGGCUCAGAUAAAGUUUUAAAAUAUUAUAAAGAGUUCGUCAUUGCACAAAAAUAUUUAAUUUUUGUUAUGUAUUUGUAUACGUAAUGUCCGUCUUUUAUUCGGGAAGG